UUAGUGGGAAUUGUCUACAAGCGUGCCUUUACACCAGCCUAAGAAACAACAUCCCUCUGUCCACCCACGGCCGUCUGGGACUGAGAAGAAAAGAAAUAGAGAGGAUGAGCGACACAAGACAUUAACAGAGAAAGCCUGGAGGAGUGGGCUGAAUAACAAAGAGAUCCUGACUAAGAAUAACAAAAGGAGACAUGAGCGAACGGCGCGCGCGUUUCAUACGUGCUUUUGAACUUUUUCUUAUUUACACCGGGGGACAAGGCCACCAGGACGUCACCGUCACCAUCCUGCAACCGAGAAAUUCAAUGCAAUCUGAAGAUGAAGACGUUUUCAUAAAGUACUGAUAUGCAACACCUGUACAAAAAAUAAAAGGAGCUGACGGCUUUUGAUCCGAGAGCGACGAGCGUUAGGAAUCUGAAUUAAGGAUUUGAUCUGCGGCAAAUGUCAAUGUCACGACUGACGGUAAAUUUUAAAGAAGCUCUUCAAGAAAAAAAAAAACCUGUUCAUUUUU
rnacentral:lncRNA from 1 species